GUUUCGUUCCAAAGGUGUUAAAAAAGGAACUUUCGUUCCCGAUUACCCUUGCCUCCUUACCUCUCCCUUUCACUUUGCGCACGCAAAGCUGGAGAAAGAAGAAACCGGAGAAGCAACUCGACCUAAUCCUUGACACAACAGAAGGAUCCUGCAUCGUUCUUCUCAAGGGAGAACUCCACUACUCAUCUCUGCUCGACUCUACUCGUUGAUCACGUUUUUUCAGAUCUCAUCUGUGAAGUCCAGAUCUUUGCAAGUUUUGAACCUGAUCUCUGCUCGUUUUCACUCAAACUAGUACGCAUAUGUUGGAGCCGUUUGUGGGUUUUUGUUGAUUGGGUUUUCUAAUAGCGGAUUGAACCCUAAUCCUUGACACAGCAGGUACGAUUUCUUCUUCUUCGUUUUGUUGAUUGGGUUUUCUACCCGUUUAUGGGUAUUUGCCGAUUAGGGAUUAAGGCUCGAACUAACAACCUUAGAGAACUAUGUUCAGAGAACCUUUGGGUUUUCUAUCUUGUUCCUAUUGAAUUAAUCUCUUUCUUCAUUAAGAAUCAACGACAGUAAUUGGGGUGCUUGAAAUCCAUCCAUAA